rnacentral:rRNA from 1 species
GAUUGCAGUGGCGGACGGGUGAGGAACACGUAAGAACUUACCUUUUGGCGGGGGAUAACAACGGGAAACUGUUGCUAAUACCCCAUAAUGCUGAGGAGCGAAAGGGAAACUGCCAAGAGAGAGGCUUGCGUCUGAUUAGCUAGUUGGAGGAGGUAAAUGCUCCCCAAGGCGACGAUCAGUAGCUGGUCUGAGAGGAUGAUCAGCCACACUGGGACUGAGACACGGCCCAGACUCCUACGGGAGGCAGCAGUGGGGAAUUUUCCACAAUGGGCGAAAGCCUGAUGGAGCAAUACCGCGUGAGGGAUGAAGGAUCGUGGUCUGUAAACCUCUUUUCUUAAGGAAGAAUAAAUGACGGUACUUAAGGAAUAAGCACCGGCUAACUCCGUGCCAGCAGCCGCGGUAAUACGGGGGGUGCAAGCGUUGUCCGGAAUGAUUGGGCGUAAAGCAUCUGUAGGUGGUUUUUAAAGUCAACUGUUAAAGCCCAGGGCUUAACUUUGGAAAAGCGGUUGAGCACUUAAGGACUCGAGUAUGGUAGGGGUAGAGGGAAUUCCUUGUGGAGCGGUGAAAUGCACAGAGAUAAGGAAGAACACCGAAGGCGAAAGCACUCUACUGGGCCAUGACGGACACUGAGAGAUGAAAGUCGGGGGAGCGAAAAGGAUUAGAUACCCUUGUAGUCCCGACUGUAAACGAUGGAUACUAAGUGCUGACAAAAUCAGUGCUGUAGCUAACGCGUUAAGUAUCCCGCCUGGGGAGUAUGCUCGCAAGAGUGAAACUCAAAGGAAUUGACGGGAAUUGGCACAAGCGGUGGAUUAUGCGGUUUAAUUCGACGAUACACGAAGAACCCUACCAGGGAUUGACAUGUUCAGAACUUUUGAGAGAUUGAAAGGUGCCCUUGUCCUGUCUAACAAGCCGAGGGAGCUGAAACACAGGUGGUGCAUGGCUGUCGUCAGCUCGUGCGGUGACGUGUCGAGUUAAGUCUUUAAACGAGCGCAACCCUUGUCUUUUGUUACCACUUUCUUUAUGAAAGGACUCAAAAGAGACUGCCGGUGUAAAUCGGAGGAAGGAGAGGAUGACGUCAAGUCAGCAUGCCCCUUACAUCCUGGGCUACACGCGUAAUACAAUGGCAAAGACAACAGGACGCGAACCCGUGAGGGGGAGCAAAUCCCAUAAACUUUGUCUCAGUUCGGAUUGAAGUCUGCAACUCGACUUCAUGAAGCCGGAAUCGCUAGUAAUCGCCGGUCAGCUAUACGGCGGUGAAUACGUUCCCCAAUUUUGUACACACCGCCCGUCACAUGCUGGGAGCCGUCUUGUCCCAAAGACAGGUUGUGAACCUCACUUUCCUUCGGAAAGAGGAGGAUGCGAAUGUCAACGGUUGGGUCGGUGACUAAUAUGAAGUCGGAACAAGG